rnacentral:rRNA from 1 species
GACGAACGCUGGCGGCGUGCUUAACACAUGCAAGUCGAACGGUAAGGCCCUUGGGGGUACACGAGUGGCGAACGGGUGAGUAACACGUGGGUGAUCUGCCCUGCACUUCGGGAUAAGCCUGGGAAACUGGGUCUAAUACCGGAUAGGACCACUGCCUGCAUGGGUGGUGGUGGAAAGCUUUUGCGGUGUGGGAUGGGCCCGCGGCCUAUCAGCUUGUUGGUGGGGUGAUGGCCUACCAAGGCGACGACGGGUAGCCGGCCUGAGAGGGUGACCGGCCACACUGGGACUGAGAUACGGCCCAGACUCCUACGGGAGGCAGCAGUGGGGAAUAUUGCACAAUGGGCGCAAGCCUGAUGCAGCGACGCCGCGUGAGGGAUGACGGCCUUCGGGUUGUAAACCUCUUUCAGCACCGACGAAGCGCAAGUGACGGUAGGUGCAGAAGAAGGACCGGCCAACUACGUGCCAGCCGCCGCCGCUG